CCAAAAUUGGCAGGGUUACUUCUUGCUGUUGUACCACUAGUUGGAAUUGCUAUCCAAAAAUAUGGAAAUUAUGUUGAAAAUAUGCAAAAAAAGUUACAAGAUGAUUUAGCUAAUGCAGCAACAAAUGCAGAAGAAAUAUUAAGUUCUAUGAGAAAUGUACGGGGCUUUUUACAAGAGUUGAAGGCUGAAGCAGAAUAUAAUAAAGGGAUAGAUGCUAGUUUCUUGACUGGAAAAAAGUUGUCAUUAGCUUCAGGUUGUCUCAAUAUGUUUUUUGGUGUCGUUGUUCAGGUAAUUUU
rnacentral:lncRNA from 1 species